CCUACGGGUGGCAGCAGUAGGGAAUCUUCCACAAUGGGCGAAAGCCUGAUGGAGCAACGCCGCGUGGGUGAAGAAGGUCUUCGGAUCGUAAAACCCUGUUUGUAGAGAAGUAAGCGCGUGAGAGUAACUCUUCACGUUUCUACGGUAUCUAACCAGAAAGCCACGGCUAACUACGUGCCAGCAGCCGCGGUAAUACGUAGGUGGCAAGCGUUAUCCGGAUUUGUUGGGCGUAAAGGGAACGCAGGCGGUCUUUUAAGUCUGAUGUGAAAGCCCUGGGCUUAACCGGAGUAGUGCAUUGGAUACUGGGGGACUAGAGAGCAGAAGCGGAAAGCGGAAUGCAAGGUGUAGCGGUGAAAUGCGUAGAUAU
rnacentral:rRNA from 1 species